UCUGGAUCGUUGAGCAAGCGCUGGUCGCCUGCCGACGCCUAUUAUAUAGAAAAUUAUACUAACGGAGGGUUACCUACGUCAUCCACUUUGUAAAACGUAUUUGAGAGGUUCGGGUUACCAAAUCUCUUUGUAUCAAAACCGUGCCACGUGCAAUAUG